GACGAACGCUGGCGACGCGCUUAACACAUGCAAGUCGAACGGAAAGGCCUGCUUUCCCUUGUGGAUUGCGGGUACUCGAGUGGCGAACGGGUGAGUAACACGUGAGUGAUCUGCCCCCAACUUGGGUAUAAGCCUGGGAAACUGGGUCUAAUUCCCGAUAGGACUGCAGGGUGGUGCCUGUGGUGGAAAACGAUUUUCUAGUGGUUGGGGAUGAGCUCGCGGCCUAUCAGCUUGUUGGUGGGGUAAUGGCCUACCAAGGCGGCGACGGGUAGCCGGCCUGAGAGGGUGGACGGCCACAUUGGGACUGAGUUACGGCCCAGACUCCUACGGGAGGCAGCAGUGGGGAAUAUUGCACAAUGGGCGGAAGCCUGAUGCAGCGACGCCGCGUGGGGGAUGACGGCCUUCGGGUUGUAAACUCCUUUCGACCGCGAGGAAGCCACCUGGUUGGAAGGGUGGUGACGGUAGUGGUAGAAGAAGCACCGGCUAACUACGUG
rnacentral:rRNA from 1 species